GAUAUUUUCAUAAAUUAAACGCCUUAAAUUUAUAGUUUUCCCCCUCAAAAUUUGGCAGAUUUCAACGAUUUUGGGUUACAGUGUUAUGCUUUAAUCGCGCACGAUGCUAACGGUAUUCAGAUUCUCCCAAAUGUAUCUAUCGUGCAUGCUAUUCAGGCAUAAGGCAUGCGAUGAUGUCCUAUCACGCGUGUGAUGGUCUGCGUGAUUAUUCCAGAGGCUUCAACAUUUUCUUAUUUUUUUUUAUUCUUUUCUUCUCUUCUUCUCCUUUAUUUUCUUUCUUUU
rnacentral:lncRNA from 1 species